GGGUGUCUAAUGUAUGUCAAUUGUGGCAGGUAGUGAAUGAUUUCUUCUUGGAUGAGAAGCAUCUCAUAGUUGUUGAUGACUUGUGUUUAAAGGAAGCUGGCAAUCCAAUAGAAUUCUUGAGAAACAUGGGAAGAGUCUUCAAUGACAUAUCAAAUGGAACAAGACUACUUGUCACAGUUUCCAAUUUGAGGAAAGCUCCACCAGUUACUGAAACUAGUUUAACUUACAGCCUGCAUCUUCGAAGCCACGACGAGAGCUGGGCGCUGUUCACGCACACUUUGAAGGUAAACAUCUGCCGAGAGAUGGAGAAUCUUAAGGGACACAUCAUAAGAAAAUGUGGGGGGCUGCCAUGGGUAAUUGUGGAACUAAGUGAACUACUAUCACAAAAAGAUGCAACUCUAAAGGAGUGGUCAAAAGUACUUGACCACUUAAAUCAAGAUCAAGAGCCCUGGUUAGAAAUCCUAGAUGAGAUUAACAAGCAUUUACCUUUGCAUUUGAGAAGAUGUCUCUUUUAUUUUGGAUUAUUUCCAGCAGGCUUUAAGAUCCCUGCAAGAAGAUUGAUUGCCUUGUGGGUUGCUGAGGGUUUGGGGUGCCAACAGAGUAACGAACAAUCCCCUGAAUAUGUUGCAGAGGCAUGCUUGAUAGAGUUAAUGAACUAUAAUAUGGUUCAGGUGACAGAAAAGAAACUUAAUGGGAAAGUUAAGUGACUCGCGGUUGUCGAAGCCGGUCAAAAAUAACCUCUUUGGUUACCUACAAUUUACAACUGCAGAUAGUGGUGAAGGAUCGAAUCCACAGAGAAUUGAUUACCUAUUUAUUUUUCUCAACAAGACCAAUAAAAUAAAUUGAAACAAUG
rnacentral:lncRNA from 1 species